UACGGGGGGAGCAAGCGUUGUCCGGAUUUACUGGGCGUAAAGAGCGCGCAGGCGGUCGUUCAAGUCGCGUGUGAAAGCCCCCGGCUCAACUGGGGAGGGUCACGCGAUACUGAUCGACUCGAAGGCAGGAGAGGGUAGUGGAAUUCCCGGUGUAGUGGUGAAAUGCGUAGAUAUCGGGAGGAACACCAGUGGCGAAGGCGACUACCUGGCCUGUUUCUUGACGCUGAGGCGCGAAAGCUAGGGGAGCAAACGGG
rnacentral:rRNA from 1 species